rnacentral:rRNA from 1 species
GGUUAAGCGACUAAGCGUACACGGUGGAUGCCCUGGCAGUCAGAGGCGAUGAAGGACGUGCUAAUCUGCGAUAAGCGUCGGUAAGGUGAUAUGAACCGUUAUAACCGGCGAUUUCCGAAUGGGGAAACCCAGUGUGUUUCGACACACUAUCAUUAACUGAAUCCAUAGGUUAAUGAGGCGAACCGGGGGAACUGAAACAUCUAAGUACCCCGAGGAAAAGAAAUCAACCGAGAUUCCCCCAGUAGCGGCGAGCGAACGGGGAGCAGCCCAGAGCCUGAAUCAGUGUGUGUGUUAGUGGAAGCGUCUGGAAAGGCGCGCGAUACAGGGUGACAGCCCCGUACACAAAAAUGCACAUGCUGUGAGCUCGAUGAGUAGGGCGGGACACGUGGUAUCCUGUCUGAAUAUGGGGGGACCAUCCUCCAAGGCUAAAUACUCCUGACUGACCGAUAGUGAACCAGUACCGUGAGGGAAAGGCGAAAAGAACCCCGGCGAGGGGAGUGAAAAAGAACCUGAAACCGUGUACGUACAAGCAGUGGGAGCACGCUUAGGCGUGUGACUGCGUACCUUUUGUAUAAUGGGUCAGCGACUUAUAUUCUGUAGCAAGGUUAACCGAAUAGGGGAGCCGAAGGGAAACCGAGUCUUAACUGGGCGUUAAGUUGCAGGGUAUAGACCCGAAACCCGGUGAUCUAGCCAUGGGCAGGUUGAAGGUUGGGUAACACUAACUGGAGGACCGAACCGACUAAUGUUGAAAAAUUAGCGGAUGACUUGUGGCUGGGGGUGAAAGGCCAAUCAAACCGGGAGAUAGCUGGUUCUCCCCGAAAGCUAUUUAGGUAGCGCCUCGUGAAUUCAUCUCCGGGGGUAGAGCACUGUUUCGGCAAGGGGGUCAUCCCGACUUACCAACCCGAUGCAAACUGCGAAUACCGGAGAAUGUUAUCACGGGAGACACACGGCGGGUGCUAACGUCCGUCGUGAAGAGGGAAACAACCCAGACCGCCAGCUAAGGUCCCAAAGUCAUGGUUAAGUGGGAAACGAUGUGGGAAGGCCCAGACAGCCAGGAUGUUGGCUUAGAAGCAGCCAUCAUUUAAAGAAAGCGUAAUAGCUCACUGGUCGAGUCGGCCUGCGCGGAAGAUGUAACGGGGCUAAACCAUGCACCGAAGCUGCGGCAGCGACGCUUAUGCGUUGUUGGGUAGGGGAGCGUUCUGUAAGCCUGUGAAGGUGUGCUGUGAGGCAUGCUGGAGGUAUCAGAAGUGCGAAUGCUGACAUAAGUAACGAUAAAGCGGGUGAAAAGCCCGCUCGCCGGAAGACCAAGGGUUCCUGUCCAACGUUAAUCGGGGCAGGGUGAGUCGACCCCUAAGGCGAGGCCGAAAGGCGUAGUCGAUGGGAAACAGGUUAAUAUUCCUGUACUUGGUGUUACUGCGAAGGGGGGACGGAGAAGGCUAUGUUGGCCGGGCGACGGUUGUCCCGGUUUAAGCGUGUAGGCUGGUUUUCCAGGCAAAUCCGGAAAAUCAAGGCUGAGGCGUGAUGACGAGGCACUACGGUGCUGAAGCAACAAAUGCCCUGCUUCCAGGAAAAGCCUCUAAGCAUCAGGUAACAUCAAAUCGUACCCCAAACCGACACAGGUGGUCAGGUAGAGAAUACCAAGGCGCUUGAGAGAACUCGGGUGAAGGAACUAGGCAAAAUGGUGCCGUAACUUCGGGAGAAGGCACGCUGAUAUGUAGGUGAAGUCCCUUGCGGAUGGAGCUGAAAUCAGUCGAAGAUACCAGCUGGCUGCAACUGUUUAUUAAAAACACAGCACUGUGCAAACACGAAAGUGGACGUAUACGGUGUGACGCCUGCCCGGUGCCGGAAGGUUAAUUGAUGGGGUCAGCGCAAGCGAAGCUCUUGAUCGAAGCCCCGGUAAACGGCGGCCGUAACUAUAACGGUCCUAAGGUAGCGAAAUUCCUUGUCGGGUAAGUUCCGACCUGCACGAAUGGCGUAAUGAUGGCCAGGCUGUCUCCACCCGAGACUCAGUGAAAUUGAACUCGCUGUGAAGAUGCAGUGUACCCGCGGCAAGACGGAAAGACCCCGUGAACCUUUACUAUAGCUUGACACUGAACAUUGAGCCUUGAUGUGUAGGAUAGGUGGGAGGCUUAGAAGUGUGGACGCCAGUCUGCAUGGAGCCGACCUUGAAAUACCACCCUUUAAUGUUUGAUGUUCUAACGUUGACCCGUAAUCCGGGUUGCGGACAGUGUCUGGUGGGUAGUUUGACUGGGGCGGUCUCCUCCUAAAGAGUAACGGAGGAGCACGAAGGUUGGCUAAUCCUGGUCGGACAUCAGGAGGUUAGUGCAAUGGCAUAAGCCAGCUUGACUGCGAGCGUGACGGCGCGAGCAGGUGCGAAAGCAGGUCAUAGUGAUCCGGUGGUUCUGAAUGGAAGGGCCAUCGCUCAACGGAUAAAAGGUACUCCGGGGAUAACAGGCUGAUACCGCCCAAGAGUUCAUAUCGACGGCGGUGUUUGGCACCUCGAUGUCGGCUCAUCACAUCCUGGGGCUGAAGUAGGUCCCAAGGGUAUGGCUGUUCGCCAUUUAAAGUGGUACGCGAGCUGGGUUUAGAACGUCGUGAGACAGUUCGGUCCCUAUCUGCCGUGGGCGCUGGAGAACUGAGGGGGGCUGCUCCUAGUACGAGAGGACCGGAGUGGACGCAUCACUGGUGUUCGGGUUGUCAUGCCAAUGGCACUGCCCGGUAGCUAAAUGCGGAAGAGAUAAGUGCUGAAAGCAUCUAAGCACGAAACUUGCCCCGAGAUGAGUUCUCCCUGAC